rnacentral:lncRNA from 1 species
CCCCGCGGUCCUAGCGCCCGGCUUACUGCCCGCGCCGCUCUGCGGCAGGCGAGGUGCGGCGCGCCAGAGCGCAGGACUUCCUGGGAGGCAGUCGAGGAGCCCUGGCUUUACAAAGAAAAGCAAAUGAAAGAUGCACUGCGAGAGGCGGGAGGAAGAAACCCUGAGUCUCCCGAGACUCAAAGUUCUCCUGCAGAAUAGAAGCCGAAUAUGACUGAGUUGAGAGAGUCGGAGGGAAGGGGAGUUGAUUUAAUGGACUCGGAUGGCCAUGGCAGUUUCUCUUCCAUUCUUCGGCCACACACACAGAAGCGCAAACUAUGUUUCAGGCGGAGUUUCGAUCUUGUCGCCCAGGCUGCAAUGCAAUGCUGCGAUCUCGGCUCACUGCAACCUCCGCCUCUCGGGUUCAAGCAAUUAUCCUGCCUCAGCCUCCUGAGUAGCUGGGACUACAGGCGCCCACCACCAUGCCCGGCUAAUUUUUGUAUUUUUAGUAGAGACGGGGUUUCACCAUAUUAGCCAGGCUGGUCUCGAACUCCUGACCUCAGAUGAUCUGCUCCCCUCGGCCUAGCUACAUCUUAUUAAUAAGCAUAAACUAAUUUUAUCUCAACAGUAAAGAUAUUUUCAAUAGGAAAAAAAGAAAAAAAAUGAUGUAUAUGAAGACUAAUAACGAGGGGGAAAGCAGGGAAAAAACGUCUUUCAACUGAUCUGAUGAAGCUCACCCAGAUUAUCUAGGAUCGUCUGCCUUACUAAAGUCAAACGAACACUCAUCUCUAUCUCGGCAGAUGUGAUCAACAUCUACAAUCAGUUGACUUUGCAUCAUUAGUUCUGAGGUUGAGACACCCUAGUCUACACCAUCCUUGUAGGAGUUCGGCCACAAAUUACAGUCUCGUUCCUCAAAAAACAGGUCUGCAAAGAAAAUAAACUUGUUGGCCAGGCGCAGUGGCUCACACCUGUGAUCCCAGCACUUUGGGAGGCUGAGGCGGGCAGAUCACGAGGUCGGGAAAUCGAGACCAUCCUGACUAGCUGCAGAAUGGCGUGAACCCGGGAGGCGGAGCUUGCAGUGGGCCGAGAUGGCGCCACUGGACUCCCGCCUGGGUGACAGAGCGAGACUCUGUCUCAAUAAAAGAAAAAGAAAAUAAACUUGUUAAAUUUUCUUAA